rnacentral:lncRNA from 1 species
CUGCUUCCAAACACCUGUAUUUCGCCUUAGCCUUGUAUUUUUGCGUUUUUGAGCUGUAUACAAUAUGUAUACAACCCAUUUCUUGGGCUUUGAACAUUUAUGAACUAAUUUCCAGCACUACUUUGGGCCUUCGGGAUCUGUAACGGCUUCCAAAUAAAUAGGAGGGUUGACUCGAGAAAAGGGUAAAAUUGAGCCUUUACGGCUCAUCUUGAAGAUGUAAGAGAGAGGUCCACCAUAG